rnacentral:lncRNA from 1 species
GAGGAGAGGCAGGAGAAAAUACGGCGCGCUCGGCAUCGUCCUUCUGACCGGGGACUCCAGCAUCUCAGUCAUCGCGUCACCAAGCCCCACGUGCAGGUUCUGGCAUCCAUCAUGGCAAACUGGAGACCGCGAUGGAGUCUUAUUCUGUCACCCUGGCUGGAGUGCAGUGGCUCACUGCAACGAUCUUGGCUCACUGCAACCUCCGCCUGCCAGGUUCAAGGGAUUCUUCUACUUCAGCCUCCCAAGUAGCUGAGAUUACAGGCGCACACCAACACGCCCAGCUAAUUUUUUUUUUUUUUUUGAGAAGGAGUCUUGCUCUGUCGCUCAGGCUGGAGUGCAGUGUCGUGAUCUUGGCUCACUGCAACCUCUGCCUCCUGGGUUCAAGAGAUUCUCCCGCCUCAGCCUCCUGAGUAGCUGGGAUUACAGGUGCUCACCACCAUGCCCAGCAAUUUUUUUUUUUGUAUUUUUUUAGAGACGAGGUUUCACGCUGUUGGUCAGGCUGGUCACGAACUCCCGAUCUCAUGAUCCACCCACCUCGGCCUCCCAAAGUGCUGGGAUUACAGGCGUGAGCCAUCAUGCCUGGCCUAAUUUUUGUAUUUUUAGUAGAGAUGGGGUUUCACCAUGGUGGCCAGGCUGGUCUCAAACUCCUGACCUCAGGUGAUCCCCCUGCCUUGGCCUCCCAAAGUGCUGGAAUUGCAGGUGUGAGCCACCGCGCCCAGCCUAAUUUUUUGUGAUUUU